UGGGGAAUAUUGCACAAUGGGCGCAAGCCUGAUGCAGCCAUGCCGCGUGUGUGAAGAAGGCCUUCGGGUUGUAAAGCACUUUCAGCGGGGAGGAAGGCGAUAAGGUUAAUAACCUUGUCGAUUGACGCUACCCGCAUAAGAAGCACCGGCUAACUCCGUGCCAGCAGCCGCGGUAAUACGGAGGGUGCAAGCGUUAAUCGGAAUUACUGGGCGUAAAGCGCACGCAGGCGGUCUGUCAAGUCGGAUGUGAAAUCCCCGGGAUCAACCUGUGAACUGCAUUCCAAACUGGCAGGCUAGAGUCUUGUAGAGGGGGGUAGAAUUCCAGGUGUAGCGGUGAAAUGCGUAGAGAUCUAGAUGAAUACCGGUGACGAAGGCGGCCCCCUGGACAAAGACUGACGCUCAGGUGCGAAAGCGUGGGGAGCAAACAGG
rnacentral:rRNA from 1 species